GUUAAGGUGGCAGAUCAGUGCAUAGGAUUUAAGUUCCUGUUAGGGAAUGUGUUUAUUCUUCUUAAUA
rnacentral:tRNA from 1 species